CCGAGGAAAUUCCGAAGAAAUUUUACUUUCCGACGACCAUUCUCGUCGGUAUGUCCUCGGAAUACCGUUAUUCCGAGGACAUACCGACGAUAUUUGUCGUCGGAAUACCGGUGUUUUCUUGUAGUGUGACUUGAUAACCUGAAACAAAGGGGGUGAAAUGAGAUGCAGAUUAUGAUAUGAAUAAAACAAGAAUAAUAAACUGAAAGAAAGGAUAGAAAUGGCGGAAUCAAGCUGCUGGGUGUGUAUCACUCUCAGCUUGAUCAAAUGAUGGCUUGAAGUGGAUUUACGGAUGAGGGUUUGAUUGAAUCUCUCAAUCUGAUGGAAUGAUGGAUCGAAUUGAUUGACUCUCUCAAUCUGUGUACUGAGCUUAUUUGAUUUGCACAAAUAAAUUAGACUCACGAAAUCAAUAGAACAACAAAAAAAUCUUUCUUUGAAUCCUAAAGACCGAUAUUUUAUAUACUACAAAAAAAAGGGGAACAUUGUGACUAAAUUUUAUGACAAAAUUUUUUGUCACAAUAUUGUGACUAUUUAGUAUUUACUUACUAGAUAGUGACUAAAUUUUUUUGUCGCAAAAUCGUAAAUAUUUUGUCACAAUAUUGCGAUGAAUGUAUAAGUAACAAAAAAACGUUACAAAAAGUUACAAAUAUGUGACGAAGUGGUUAGUCACAAAUGAUGUUACGGAAUCGAGACUAAAACUCGUCCCUACUAGAUACAAUUUCGCGACUUACAUUAUGUCACCCACGGUGACUGAAGUUUGUAAUCAUAUAUCAUCUCAAUUUGUUACUGGGGUGGUGACUUUUAAUUUAGUCAUAAAUUGAGAGAUAAAAUACUACUAUAUUUUGUCACUAUUAUAAAAACCAUAUGCUUUAAAAUUCACUCAAAAUUUAAUCUUAUUCAAACAUUUAUCUUAAAUCAAUAAUCAAAACUCCAAACACCAUACCGUAAACUCCAAACUUUAAGUUAUAAAGAUUAAACCUUACACAUAAAGUAAUAAAUUAUAAUUACUAUAAACUUAACUAAUAUUUUACACUCAUACAACUUUUUAAUUUUCAAUUCUAAUUUAAAAACCUUAACCUCAUACUUUUUUUUUUUGAACAAGGGCAUAACCUCGUACUUUAAACCUCAAAUUGUAAUCCCCAAACUCCAAACCUUAAAUAAUAAAAGAUAACCCAGUUAAAAUCAUAAAUAAUAAACAAAACGUAAUCACUAAUUUUUAACAAAAAAAUAUAAUCACUAAUUAUAUACAAAUACUUUAAACAUUUACAUAUAAAACUUAAUAAAUUUUAUUUUAAAAAAUAUGUAUAUAAAUUAAAUUUACAUAAACUUUUUAAAAACCAGCAUUUUAAUCUUUUAUAAAUCUUAACACCAAACCCUAAAAACAAACUUCAAAUCAUAUACCCUCACUCCAAAUUCUAAAUCCUAACUCUACUCUUGAACUUAGACUUUUAGUCAUAGAAAUUAAAUCACGAACUCUAAUAACAAACCUUCAACUUUAAACAAAUUCAUGCAACCAUAUACCCUGAACUCUAAAUUAUGUCUUAAUUUUUUUUUAAAUUAUCAUAAAAUUUAAUUCGUAAACCAUUACACUAACAUAUAACCAUUAAAUAUACUUAAACAAAAUUAAUCUAGUUUUAACAAAAAAAAUACUAUUUUAGUUUUCCCACGUUUUGAGAAUAUACAACUCGUUCUGGCUUCAUUUUUUUUAGGCAUUAAUCUAGUUAUCCCACGUUUUGAGAAUAUACCUUUUUUUUUGUAACUGCGUUUUGAGAAUAUACUUCUAUCUCAUAACCCUACUUUACUCCUCCGUCUCUUUCUUUUUAAUUUCGUGUAGCCUCCACCCACACUUUUCUCUCUUUCUCCAAACAAAUCAACAAUCCUCUUGAUUCUUUUUGUUUCAGUUAUCCAUUUGAUUCUAUCUCUCUCAUUUUCUUAUCCCUUAGAACAUCUCUUUCUUUCACUUUAUCUCUCUGUGAUUUUAAUUUAUAAUGUUUUAGAUUCAGUGUCAUGCUCUUCUCCCUCAUUAAAGGUAGAAACUCACGACCCUACUGCCUCUCGACGACUAUACUGAUCCGUACGUAAUGCAAAUGGUAUUAACAAGUUGAUAUUUCGGAUACAGAUCGAUGUACCUAGAUAGAGCCAAUACUUCGUCGUAGAUUUGGCGACUACCCUGUUCGAGGCUUUCAUUAGGAAAAUAUGAAAAGCCAGUGCCAAUGAUGAAGGAGAAUACAAGGACAGCGGGGGUGUAGACAAGGGCAGAAGGAGAAUCUACAAAUGCCGAUUGUUUGCUGUAGUUUGAUAGAGGCAAAGGAGACCAGUGUUACCCUAAUUUUCUUUGCUUUGGUUUGUAUUAUAAUUGGUUAUCUAGUACCAACUUAAUUUUUUGUAACCAGUUAACCAAUAUGUGGUUCAGAUAAUCAAUAAAAUAUAUUUUAGUUACAA